rnacentral:lncRNA from 1 species
GCUUGAUUAGAUUGGUUAUAAGAUGCUUCAUGCAAGAUUCUGUUUUGGCUUUUAGUUCUGUACUUUGGCAGUAUGAAUGAAAAUGGACAUAAGGUAUGAAAAAACCUAGGCUGAUAACCAUUUUUUUUUUUUUUUUUUUUUACUUUUUUGGAUAAUGGUGUGUGAUAAUUGUUGGGUUUUCUUUUCCUUAUUUUUUUGUGUUUAGGAUUUUUUUCAUUUUUCAUUUUUGUUCUUUUUUAAUUUCCAUGAGUUUGGACUUACUGCAGAAUAAAUUAACUCGUAAGUUUUAUUACAUUUGGGCUUCGCUAGCUCUUAUUGUAUGGUGUUUGUUUUUUCAUGAUCAUAAUGUUAUGAAAUUUAUUAAGGUUUAGGAUUUAGGGUAAAAGUGCAAUUUUUCUGAUUAAUGUGCAAUUUAUUUAAUGAGCAAUUUGUCUGAUUAUAUAGAUGGAGGUAAACCAGGGGGUGGAAGAAGGUUU